GUUUUAGUGUCUGAGCUGUAAUGAGCUGAUUGGGUUCAUCUGAGGGAUCAUUGUUCAUUUAUUUUUCUGGCUGGAGUUCCACAAAACUUAAAGUUUAUGUGACAUUUUCAGGAUUCCACCCAGCUUCCUUUGGAUCCUGCAGACGGCGUUCACUCUUCCUCCUUACAGACUCACACAGACGACUCCCACCCCCACAGCCCCACAACUCACAGAGCGGCGGAGGACCCCCCACGACUCACAGAGCGGCGGAGGGGGCCCCUGUGAUUCAUAGAGCGGCAGAGAAUGCCCCACGACGCCAGGAGGGGCGGAGGUCGCCGCACGACUCAUAGAGCAGCAAAGAACCCCCUGCGACACCAGGAUCAGCGGUGGAUGCCCCGCGACUCAUAAAGCGGCAGAGGAUGCCCUGUGAUUCAUAGAGCGGCGAAAGAUGCCCCGCGAGGCCAGGAGCAGCGGAGGACGCCCCGCGACUCAUAGAGCGGCGGAGGACGCCCCACAACGCCAGGAGGGGCGGAGGUCACCGCGCGACUCAUAAAGCAAGCAAAGAACCCCCCGCGACGCCAGGAGCAGCGGAGGAUGCCCCGCGACUCAUAAAGCGGCGGAGGGCGCCCCACCCCCUUUUUUGCAUUUUUCAAAUCUUGGCUGAGAGUGGAGUCAUCCUCCAACUGUCCCGUUUAGUUACCCUUUAAAUCCUCUUUUUAUGUUAGUAAAGCAGCAGGAAGUAAACUGAAUGUGUGGAACAUUUAAUCAUAACUGACUUUUUUUAGCUUUGAGAUUUUAAAUUUCUUUUUUGUAGUCCAAGCAGAAAAAAAUCUUUCAAACUGUCAGGUUUUGUGUUUC